rnacentral:rRNA from 1 species
AGCAGUCGCCGCGGUAAUACGUAGGUGGCAAGCGUUGUCCGGAAUUCUUGGGCGUAAAGGGCUCGCAGGCGGUUUCUUAAGUCUGAUGUGAAAGCCCCCGGCUCAACCGGGGAGGGUCAUUGGAAACUGGGAAACUUGAGUGCAGAAGAGGAGAGUGGAAUUCCACGUGUAGCGGUGAAAUGCGUAGAGAUGUGGAGGAACACCAGUGGCGAAGGCGACUCUCUGGUCUGUAACUGACGCUGAGGAGCGAAAGCGUGGGGAGCGAACAGGAUUAGAUACCCCAGUAGUCCCUGUCUCUUAUAC